CCUACGGGGGGCAGCAGUGAGGAAUAUUGGUCAAUGGCCGGAAGGCUGAACCAGCCAUGCCGCGUGAAGGUCAGUGCCCUAUGGGCGUUAAACUUCUUUUGUGCGGGAGCAAUAAUGGUCACGUGUGGCCAGACGAGAGUACCGUACGCAUAAGCAUCGGCUAACUCCGUGCCAGCAGCCGCGGUAAUACGGGGGAUGCAAGCGUUAUCCGGAUUUAUGGGGUUGAAAGGGGGCGUAGGCUGUGAGGUAAGUCAGCGGUGAAAUGCCCACGCUCAACGGGGUGAAGUGCCAUUGAUACUGCCUAGCUGGAAUGCGGAUGCCGUGAGAGGAAUGUGUGGUGUAGCGGUGAAAUGCAUAGAUAUCACACAGAACACCGAUUGCGAAGGCAUCUCACGAAUCCGCGAUUGACGCUGAUGCACGAAAGCGUGGGUAUCAAACAGGAUUAGAUACCCCAGUAGUC
rnacentral:rRNA from 1 species